rnacentral:tRNA from 1 species
AGCGGGGUAGGGCAGCCUGGAGUGCCCGCCGGGCUCAUAACCCGGAGGUCGGUGGUUCAAAUCCACCCCCCGCUA